GAUGAACGCUGGCGGCGUGCCUAAUACAUGCAAGUCGAGCGAACAGACGAGGAGCUUACUCCUCUGACGUUAGCGGCGGACGGGUGAGUAACACGUGGAUAACCUACCUAUAAGACUGGGAUAACUUCGGGAAACCGGAGCUAAUACCGGAUAACAUGUUGAACCGCAUGGUUCAACAGUGAAAGACGGUCUUGCUGUCACUUAUAGAUGGAUCCGCGUCGCAUUAGCUAGUUGGUAAGGUAACGGCUUACCAAGGCAACGAUGCGUAGCCGACCUGAGAGGGUGAUCGGCCACACUGGAACUGAGACACGGUCUAGACUCCUACGGGAGGCAGCAGUAGGGAAUCUUCCGCAAUGGGCGAAAGCCUGACGGAGCAACGCCGCGUGAGUGAAGAAGGUCUUCGUAUCGUAAAACUCUGUUAUUAGGGAAGAACACUUGUGUAAGUAACUAUGCACGUCUUGACGGUACCUAAUCAGAAAGCCACGGCUAACUACGUG
rnacentral:rRNA from 1 species